UCGAGAAUCAUUCGCAAUGGGCGAAAGCCUGACGAUGCGACGCCGUGUGAGCGAAGAAGGCCUUCGGGUCGUAAAGCUCUUUCGCUUGGGAACAAGAGAAGUUGGGGAAUAUCCAACUGAUUUGAGGGUACCAGGUAAAGAAGCACCGGCUAACUCCGUGCCAGCAGCUGCGGUAAUACGGAGGGUGCAAGCAUUAAUCGGAUUUAUUGGGCGUAAAGGGCGCGUAGGCGGAGAAAUAAGUCAGAUGUGAAAUCCCAGGGCUCAACCCUGGAACAGCAUUUGAAACUAUUUUUCUAGAGGGUAGGCGGAGAAAAUGGAAUUCCACAAGUAGCGGUGAAAUGCGUAGAUAUGUGGAAGAACACCGGUGGCGAAGGCGAUUUUCUAGCUUACAACUGACGCUGAUGCGCGAAAGCAAGGGGAUCAAACAGGAUUAGAUACCCCCGUAGUCC
rnacentral:rRNA from 1 species